UACGUAGGCAGCGAGCGUUGUUCGGAUUUACUGGGUUUAAAGGGUGCGUAGGUGGGUUGGUAAGUCAGUGGUGAAAUACUUUCGCUUAACGAAGGAACUGCCAUUGAUACUACCAGUCUUGAAUACAGUGGAGGUAGGCGGAAUGCGUCAUGUAGCGGUGAAAUGCUUAGAUAUGACGCAGAACACCAAUUGCGAAGGCAGCUUGCUACACUGUUAUUGACACUGAGGCACGAAAGCGUGGGGAUCAAACAGG
rnacentral:rRNA from 1 species